rnacentral:RNase_MRP_RNA from 16 species
GGGAAGACUCUGCUAAGCGUUCCUCGUUAUCAGAGCGCUACGUACGGUUUACGGGAGGGUCCUGGAUUAGCCCCUAAACCAGGCUCGGUGCGAACAGGUGCGCCCUGAUUCGAUGCCAGCCGUUUGGCUCUGGGUGAAAGUCCCCGGACAGUAGGUCAGAGAGUGUCGGUGGUAAGCAAAGCUGGGCGUUUCAGGUCGCGCACACUUCUGCUCGCGGGACUGCAACCACAGAACCCCAAUAAGAGCGGGAGUGCUGCGCGACAGUGAACGUCGCUUGUCGAUGGUGCAGCGCUGGAACCUGCUGCCGCGUUGGGGUGCUUGCGCCCCAUGUUUGGCAGCGGCAGCCUGCACUGAAUCAGCAAUGGAACGAGCGAGAGCGACCGUCCUUCAUGGACGGCGACUCGUGAACACAAUGGGGCUUACUCUGGCAGUGUGCUCCC